CCCAGAUUUUACUUCCCCUCCACCAGUUACACAUGUAGCCAGCUGUGUGUCUGUGUGUGUUGGGGAGGAAGACCUCUCUCUGCUCUGUGGUCCUUCUAGCUGGACUGGGAAUCAAACAGACAUAAGACAAAUGAACAGGGGAAAACCAAAUUUAAUGGGCGUACCUAUGAGGAAUCCAUGCAUACAGGCAAUUCCCCAGACAAUAAGGCAACAGGAAGCUUCUGUGAUCUAAGGAAAAAGUGGGAGUCUGAGGAUACCAAGUUGAGAAAUCUCAUUGGCAAGAAGGUGAAAGCAGCUCAAAAAACAUUAUAUAUAUGGAAUCACAUAGUAAAUGACUUUUCAGGAUUGGAUUUUUUCCCCCCGCUACACAACAUAAUAGCCUGGAGAUCCCUCCAAGUAAUCAUGUGUCUCAAUGUUCUGCUCCUUGGAUAUGGCUCUGGAGUGUGCCCUGGUGUGGAUGCUCUUCUGCUGACCCACUCACCUGCUGAAGGACACCUGAACUAAUCCUUCUUUUGGGCUGUGACAAAUAAAGUCACCGUGAACACACGA